GAUGAACGCUGGCGGCGUGCCUAAUACAUGCAAGUCGAACGAGGUAGCAAUACCGAGUGGCGAACGGGUGAGUAACACGUAGGUAACCUGCCCUUAAGCUUGGGAUACCCAGAGGAAACUUUGGCUAAUACCGGAUAACAACAGAGAAGGCAUCUUCUUUGCUUGAAAGGCCCCUUCAAGGGUCACUUAAGGAUGGACCUGCGGCGCAUUAGCUAGUUGGUGAGAUAACAGCCCACCAAGGCGAGGAUGCGUAGCCGAACUGAGAGGUUGAUCGGCCACAUUGGAACUGAGACACGGUCCAAACUCCUACGGGAGGCAGCAGUAAGGAGUUUUCGGCAAUGGGGGAAACCCUGACCGAGCAACGCCGCGUGAGCGAUGACGGCCCUAUGGGUUGUAAAGCUCUGUUGUAAGCCAUGAAUGAUAGCUUUAGGAAAUGAAAGCUAUUUGACGACAGCUUACCAGAAAGCCACGGCUAACUACGUGCCAGCAGCCGCGGUAAUACGUAGGUGGCAAGCGUUAUCCGGAAUUAUUGGGCGUAAAGAGUGAGCAGGCGGCUAAUUAAGUCUGAAGUCAAAUCGUGGGGCUCAACCCCAUUUCGCUUUGGAAACUGAUUGGCUAGAGUACGGGAGAAGUGAAGGGAACUCCAUGUGUAGCGGUGAAAUGCGUAGAUAUAUGGAAGAACACCAGUGGCGAAGGCGCUUCACUAGCCCGAAACUGACGCUCAGUCACGAAAGCGUGGGUAGCAAAUA
rnacentral:rRNA from 1 species